UAGGGAAUCUUCGGCAAUGGGGGGAACCCUGACCGAGCAACGCCGCGUGAGUGAAGAAGGUUUUCGGAUCGUAAAGCUCUGUUGUUAAGGAAGAACGAGUGUGAGAAUGGAAAGUUCAUGCUGUGACGGUACUUAACCAGAAAGGGACGGCUAACUACGUGCCAGCAGCCGCGGUAAUACGUAGGUCCCGAGCGUUGUCCGGAUUUAUUGGGCGUAAAGCGAGCGCAGGCGGUUAGAAAAGUCUGAAGUGAAAGGCAGUGGCUCAACCAUUGUAGGCUUUGGAAACUGUUUAACUUGAGUGCAGAAGGGGAGAGUGGAAUUCCAUGUGUAGCGGUGAAAUGCGUAGAUAUAUGGAGGAACACCGGUGGCGAAAGCGGCUCUCUGGUCUGUAACUGACGCUGAGGCUCGAAAGCAUGGGGAGCGAACAGG
rnacentral:rRNA from 2 species